GGUGAAAAUCCAUCCGCCCUGUUCUCUGCACCCUGCCUUCAAUCCUGGUUGAUCACAAGAAAGUGACAAGGACUGAGGGCCUUCAGAACAGAAGACCUGGUCUUCAGGCUGUUACCAGGUUAACAAAUAGGACACAGAGCUCUGCUGGCCACUGCCUGAGCAUCAUUGGUAAUUAUGCACUUCAACAACAAGUGAACAUCUAUUUAUCACAGGGAGGGUGCAAUAUAGACCAAAAAUUAUACUCACGCUCCAAAAAAAUAAACCUCUGGCCUAUCUCCAUUCCAAUCCAAACCAAUCUUCUUGAAAAUCCAAAUACUACAUAUCCCUUGUGUAACAGAUCUAAUAUUUACCAAGAUUUCUUUUAAAUGAGGCCAUGUCAUUUCCUCGGCCCCAAUUUUGCAGAUUAUUUUGUGAUUAUAUGAUCAGUUAGGUAAAUAUAUUGCUAGAGAGGAAUGCCUUUUCUCCGCUCUUUUCCACAGGCAGAGAUUUUCCUUCAGCAUACUUCUGACUUCUCUUACUUCUCUUGCCCCUGAAUAGGUGCCUAGCUUACUUGAUGGUUAAAUUUGGCUCAGUUUCACUCUUUUCCUUUAGGGAAGGAGCCUAUCCAACCCACACCAAAGCCUCCUCAGCUUCUCCUUGCUGGAAGUUACAGAGAAGUCUCCCAGCAUGGGCUAGGCCCCCAGAGCCCAAGUCCUGCCAUGCUGUGCAGACUUUCAUCCUCUAAAUCAGAGACCCAGUAUCAGUAAACCUGUGUGGCAAAUAGGUCCAAGGCCAUAACUGCUGACUGAGCCAUUCCAGUACUAAGAUGACAUUUUGGCAUCCAUUUUCCCUUUAUUUCCUUUUUAUCUUGUUCUGAACCCAGGCUGAGAAGAGAGAUUCUAUAGACCAGAAGCUCCUUUGGAGACAGAUAAUUAUAGUACCAACAGUCUUGGUUAUCAUGUGAAUAAAAAGGUUUUGCAUCCUUUGGGGAUCGAUUCUGUACUAUCCUGGGGAAAGCUGUAACUUACAAACAUGAAAAUAAGCAGUUAGGUGAGGUACAGUAUGAAAACCAUCCCUGGAUCAAUGUGUCCAAAAACUGAACAUAAGGAAACAUAAAGCACUGCUUUUCAAACAAGCAAACUGAAUAGUGAGACAUAUAAACCACACAACACUCUCAUGGACUCUUAGGGACUCUACAUGAGUCACAUGCUCACUUGGUAUUAGACCCAGUGACCAAAUUCUAGUUCACAUAUAUGUAUACACAUACACAUGUUCAUUUGCUCACUAGCCAAGAAAGAUUGCUGAUAAACAGAUAAUGUAUGUGAAAGGAAAAACUCUGAGAACAGUACAGUGCUAUCAAAUACCAUUAUGGAAGGUAUUAUUUUGGUUUUUUUUAAAUGCUCACAUUCAGAAGAGACUGAAGAAUUGGUGGAAGCAAACUGAAUGGAAAAUAUGGCAAAAUGUUGAAGCAAGAUCUUAAAGGUUCUUUUAAGUUCCUCUAAAAUGUUUAUUCUUGGUGAGUAAAUGGUCCCCAUAAUUCUUCUGGUGAUAAAAGGUGUGUGUAUACACACACACACACGCACACACACACAUAUGUAUGUAUAUGUGUGUAUAUAUAUACAUAUAUACACACAUAUAUACAUACACACAUACACAAUUAUAAUUUGGUACUUUUUAAUUAUGAUAAUUUAUAGAGUUUUACAAUAACACUGUCAUACAUAUGUUUGUUGUGCUAUGCAUAUUUUGUUAUGAGGAAACAUGUUCAUUUUUGGCACAUUUCACCAAAGAUGUGCCUAUUAGCAGUAUUCCAUUCUGUCUGUCUGUUUGUGCCAGGCAUAGGCAGGGACUGCCAACAGCCCUCCCACAUCAGAUACUCCCACAUUGGUGAGACACAGACAAAAUGAGCCUGGACUUUACCUCCCUGCAAAAAAAAAAAAAUGGGCUGGACACACAAUAGCCUAUCCAGAGAUGAGAGCUCUGCCCCCACAGGCGGCACAGACACUCCCUGUGGACACUCAGAUGUCCUGACACCUACAAAACGGUCACUUCUUGGUGUUAUCCAGUUACUUCAAAGGGAGAUAGACACAGACAGUGGUUGGUUGAAAAUUCUCUAAACCAGAAAGUUGCAUAGCCCACCUGAGGCUGAAUUCUCAAAAAGUGCCUACAGAAAGUAUCUACAACCUUAAAAUCAACUCUUACAAGCUCUGGAAGGAGCAAUAUUCCUGAAGUGCUUAUGGACUGGAAGCCAUCUAAGUCUGUAAUCAACAGAAGGUAGUUCUGGGGGGUCAUUCCUCCACAUAGAACACUUGCUUCCUUAAACACAUCUACCUUUAUUUAUCAUUUAUAUUGCCCUGCAUCCAAAACUGAUUGGAGAGACACUUAAGUCCAGUCCUGACUGAUUUGGUACCAUAGAUCAUUUUGUCUAAUUGAAAGUUUUCGCUGAGAUCAAUAGUUUAUUAUUUGCUUCUGCCCACAGACAUUUCUUAUAACACUGUGUAUUGUGUCACAAUCUUGGCUAUGAUUCUGUAUCUGGUUACGCCUUUUGAUAUACAUGAAGAAAAAUGAUAAUGCAUUAAUAAAACACUGUAUAUAAACAAGUCCAUGUAUGUGAUGACCUUGUUGCUUCAGAAAGACAGAUAUGUGCAUAUCCCUAGGUGUAUGACUGUGUAUGCUCAUUUUUUUUAUUAUGGAAAUAUUAAAUGUUCUACAAAAUCUGAACUUAAAGAAGUAGAGAAUCUUGUUUCCCAUAUCAAUUUAAGAAGACUUUUACUAAUUUUUAUUUUAGAUUUACACCCAAACGAACUACUAAUGUCCCCUCUACCAACCCAGAAUAAAAUCUGGUUUUAGCAUACUUAAAUGCUAAAUGAAACAUAGUUAAAAGACAGAGGUAAUCAAGAUUUAGAGAUGAAAGAAAUCAAGGAUCAACUCUUACCAGAGUUGCUGAAAAAGAAAACAAAAAUGGAAGAAAAAAGUGGGAGAGGAACAGAUGGAUCGGCAGAGUUUUGCUUUCUAUGCGACACUGUGCACUUAUUAUUCACAUGAGAACUAAUUUAUAAACCCGGAUAGUGUUUAUAAACUCCACCGUCCUAAUGGAAAUGAAAGCAUUAAUACGACCAGAGAAUUCUUUA
rnacentral:lncRNA from 1 species